rnacentral:lncRNA from 1 species
UGCUAUUAUAAACAACAUUUAUAAAAUUUUAAUUUCUAGUUGUUGUUAGUUACUACAAAUAAAACACCAUCAUUAUACACUGCUUCUGUGAGUCUGACUGUUGUAGAUUCCUCAAGGAUCUAGAACCAGAAAUACCAUUUGACCCAGCAAUCCCAUUACUGGGUAUUUACCCAAAGGAUUAUAAAUCAUUCUACUAUAAAGACACAUGCACACGUAUGUUUAUUGA